UACGGGGGGAGCAAGCGUUUGUUCGGAUUUACUGGGCGUAAAGGGCGCGUAGGCGGCGCAACAAGUCACUUGUGAAAUCUCCGGGCUUAACCCGGAGCGGCCAAGUGAUACUGUCGUGCUAGAGUGCGGAAGGAGCUACUGGAAUUCUCGGUGUAGCGGUGAAAUGCGUAGAUAUCGAGAGGAACACCUGCGGCGAAGGCGGGUAGCUGGGCCGACACUGACGCUGAGGCGCGAAAGCCAGGGGGAGCGAACGGG
rnacentral:rRNA from 1 species